GACGAACGCUGGCGGCGUGCCUAACACAUGCAAGUCAACUUGACUGAAGGAGCAAUCUGACAGUAGAGUGGCGCAAGGGUGCGUAACGCGUAAGUAACUUGCCCAAGGUAAGGAAUAACGUCGAGAAAUCGGCGCUAAUACCUCAUAAUGCAGCGGAUCCGCAUGGAUAUGUUGUUAAAGGUUUAACCGCCUUGGGAUAGGCUUGCGUCUGAUUAGCUAGUUGGUGUGGUAACGGCACACCAAGGCUACGAUCAGUAACUGGUCUGAGAGGAUGAUCAGUCACACUGGAACUGAGACACGGUCCAGACUCCUACGGGAGGCAGCAGUGAGGAAUAUUGGGCAAUGCUCGAAAGAAGUGACCCA
rnacentral:rRNA from 1 species